AAAAGAACCUUGAGGCCAUCGCUGGGGCUCCGUGUCCGAAAAACAGAGUUUACCUUGGUCACCGACCACCAGCCACUCCUGGGAUUGCUAAAGCCGGGCCGGCCGACCCCUGCCAUGGCUGCUGCAAGGAUCCAGCGUUGGGCACUGCUGCUUGGGGGCUACCAGUACAAGCUGGACUACCAGCCUGAAGAACGCCACAAGCCUCCGGAAGAUCCCCGUCGGAAGUCCUGCUGGGCUAUCAAAUUCGAUCGAGGAUCGACACCUGCUUUCCAUCGG